rnacentral:rRNA from 1 species
AACGAACGCUGGCGGCAUGCCUAACACAUGCAAGUCGAACGAAACCUUCGGGUCUAGUGGCGCACGUGUGCGUAACGCGUGGGAACCUGCCCUUAGGUUCGGAAUAACUCCCCGAAAGGGGUGCUAAUACCGGAUAAUGUCUUCGGACCAAAGAUUUAUCGCCGUUGGAUGGGCCCGCGUUGGAUUAGCUAGUUGGUAGGGUAAAAGCCUACCAAGGCGACGAUCCAUAGCUGGUCUGAGAGGAUGAUCAGCCACACUGGGACUGAGACACGGCCCAGACUCCUACGGGAGGCAGCAGUGGGGAAUAUUGGACAAUGGGCGAAAGCCUGAUCCAGCAAUGCCGCGUGAGUGAUGAAGGCCUUAGGGUUGUAAAGCUCUUUUACCCGGGAUGAUAAUGACAGUACCGGGAGAAUAAGCUCCGGCUAACUCCGUG